AGCGAACGCUGGCGGCAGGCCUAACACAUGCAAGUCGAGCGCCGUAGCAAUACGGAGCGGCAGACGGGAGAGUAACACGUGGGAACGUACCCUUCAGUACGGAACAACCAAGGGGAAACUUUGGUCUAAUACCGUAUACGUCCGUAAGGAGAAAGAUUUAUCGCUGAAGGAUCGGCCCGCGUCUGAUUAGCUUGUUGGUGAGGUAACGGCUCACCAAGGCGACGAUCAGUAGCUGGUCUGAGAGGAUGAUCAGCCUCACUGGGACUGAGACACGGCCCAGACUCCUACGGGAGGCAG
rnacentral:rRNA from 1 species